GUAAGCGGAACUAUCCCCCACUUCUCUCCGUCUUAUAACUCUUCUAAACGUUUCCUCGUCUCUCGGGAUGUGUUUGAACCGGACUAGCUUUAGGUGGUAACCGGCGUCAGGGCGGCUCGGCUCCGGUUAGUUCGGCCUUGUUAGGCUUUAAUGUGAGUUUUUACUGUAGCUCGGACGGAGUUCACAGCGAGGGCGUGGACUCGACACGACAGCGGUGGCCGGUAGGAAUGUUACACGAGGAUACCUAACAAAAGCUAACUAGCUUUGUGCGGAGCCUGGCGGUCUGCUGCUGAGCAAUGCGGAAGACACACUGUCACCGGAGAAACACGACAGACAGCCCCCCGUCUGCACCGAAAUGUGUCCGAGUUUUGCUUCAGUGCCGCCGAAGUGUCCUCUUACAGGAGUCCGUGCUAGCUAGUUUUGGCGUCGACGUUCCCGUUAGUGGACGCUGCUUGUUAGCGACAGCACGGAUUCGCCACGUUGUUUAAGUGGAAGUUAAGUCACCGAGUGUGUUAUUAAGUCACUGAAAACUGUAGUUCAUGGUCAGUAUACUCGCUUUUAAGUCCUUUAGAAUUCGUCGCUCUUGUUAAAAAUCAUCCACUGCACAUAUAUAUGAACAUAAGUUAUGUAAAGUGUAAGUUACAUUAGGCCUCCCAUAAAGCAGUGGACUAACAUUAGUGUAGGCCUGCUGUUCACUGUAAACCAUCACUGCUUUGGUUUGUGACACACAGACACCUGACUCCACCCAGUUUGUGUUCACAUUAACAGUCUUUACAGGUGACUUUUUACAAAUCAAGCUUAUUGUUUAAGCAAUAUCUAUGAAAUGGAUUAAAUAACUGAUUCUUUGCAGGACAUUACUUUGUUACAGCAGUUACAGUGAAGAACCCACAUCUAAAACUGAGCAUUAUUUUUUAUCCAGCAUAAUAAUAUUCACAGAAAUACUAAUAGUGUACUGAAGACUUGAAGCGUGGUAUUAGAGAUAUUUGUAAUAUGUAAUGUGAAAAAUAUCUAGUCGUUGGAAAAAAUAAAAUAGAAUCAACAAAUACAGUUCAACAUAAAACUUCACUGAGCCCUGAGGGGAAAUUCACAAGCUGCCCUGCAGAUGAACUAUAUAAAGUAGAUCAAUCAUGUUUCCCAACUCCAAUCUUCAAGCCAUGAACUCAUUAUUGCAAUGAUAAUCAUAUACAAUAAUAUGCAUUGUUCUGAAAUAUGUCAUUCUCUACUCUUGGUACUUUAGAUUUGAUUCUAAUACUUUGUUCUUUUACUUAAGUAUAUGUGCUGAUGUGUGAACUUGUGGUAAAGUGUUUCUACAAUAUGGUUCAGGUACCUGUACUUAAGUAUAAGGUCAGUGUACUUUUUUCACCUCUGGAGACAUAUUAACUACCAAAAGUUACAUAAUUCUAGCAUGUGGAAAUGCAGAAAACUGCAGUUCAUGGUCUCUAUAGUCGCAUCUGUCUCCCUUAGAGUUUAUGAAUUACAUGACUAAAUUAUUAUUUACAUAUAUAAAUAACAUUAGGCCUGUUUUACUCCUAACUUAAAGCCAUUAGUGCUUUUAUUUGCGACAUACAAACAGGCCAGACACUGGAGAUUACUGUAUGACACUGUAGACAGAUAUCUUGAAUUAGAGUUUUGACCAGUUGAAAUGGUAUUACAGAGACGAAGGUGGCUUUUCAAACAAACUAUAAACUGCAGUGCAACUGUGCUAAAACCCCCCCCAAAGUUUUUACCGAACAUUUCUAAAGAAUGGGAGACCUGCGAAUGUUCUGAGUCCAUUCAGACAUUGUCAUGGCUUCACAGUUGUGUCUGCUGACAAAAAAUUUACCAAAUGCUGCAAAUUUUCACCACAAGUCUCCAAUGAACGAAACUCUUCUUCUCUACAAAGUCAUUGCUGAUGAGCUCUUUGGAUUUCAUACACUUUCUAACAUGUACAGCGACUCCAUUACUUCUGCAAACACUGUUCACAUUCCUUACAGGACCAAUAUCCCAUGGGAAGCUUCUCUUGAGCAUCAUCAUGCACAACAAUUCGGACUAGCUACAAUGACGCUUGAAAUAUCUGCAACUAUUUUUUUCACUUGUCAAAACAGAAUUACAAAUAUCUGUAAUUUUGACUGGUCGGAAUGAGGAUAGAGACAUGAAUACAAACUCAGACUAGUAACAGUAUUGGUAUGACCAGACCAAAUUAUGUUUUUAAUUCAGGAUUCUGCUUUCAGACUGUAACAAAACACAUCAUCAUUCUUAUUUAUAUUUCUUUUUGGCGAGAAAGAUAUUGAAAUGUUACAGUCCUCACUAAAAUUGUGACAUGUUGCUGUAUCAGUCUAAAUUACGAAUUAAAGACUUAAGUUGUGUACUGUAUUAUGACCACUUACCGUGCAACAAGUUGCAGGAAACAGUUGAGCAUGGAGUGGCUCUCCUCCUCCUCCUUGAGAUAAAAAGUUAUUCACUUUGAUUGUCUUAGAAAAAUAAACCUGAUGUCCAAGCCCUGCUAAUCACAUAGCUCGUAUUCGCAACCAUUUGACCAAUAAAUAAAACCAUAACUAAAACCA